ACUCCUACGGGAGGCAGCAGUGGGGAAUAUUGGACAAUGGGGGNAANCCUGAUCCAGCCAUGCCGCGUGUGUGAAGAAGGCCCUCGGGUUGUAAAGCACUUUCAGCGAGGAAGAACGCCCAGCGGUUAAUACCCGCUAGGAAAGACAUCACUCGCAGAAGAAGCACCGGCUAACUCC
rnacentral:rRNA from 1 species